rnacentral:lncRNA from 1 species
GCCACUCGAAACAUUGAAGGAGCGAGCCCAAUGCUAAUCCCACCACUCUCAUGGCCAAGCCUUCUCCAGGACAGCUCCUCCUUCCAUGCCCGAAAGGCAUCAACUUGAACUCGUCUCUUCCCCCCUCCGGGUUGUCGAACCUCUCAGGUCUGAAUUUUGUAGGGUCUGGCCAGAUUUUAGGGUCAUUUUGAAUGGCCCAAUUAUUUACAGAGAGCAUCGUGCCCCGUGGAAUGCGGAAUCCCCCAACCAGGCAUUCUUCUGAUGACUCAUGAGGUACUAGCAACGGAGCUGGCGGGUACAUCCGUAACGUCUCGUUGAGGAUGCUGCGGAGGUAGGGAAGGCGUGCAAGAUCAGCUUCAUCCAUGAAACGAUCAUGCCCAAUCUGCUCGUCGAUUUCUCCCUGAGCCUUCUCGAGGACUUGGGGAUGGUUGAGCAACAGUGAAAGUGCCCAUUCCAUUGUAGCAGAUGAAGUGUCUGUUCCCGCCAACAAGAGCACCUGCAAACCAAACCAAAUUGUGGUGUAAUUAAUUCCAUAGACGAUGCAAGCAGUGGAGAUAUCUUGUAGAAAUAAAUAAAUAAAAGACGAUGCAAAGAAAAUCACCAAAGUGACCUCCUACACCCUUGUCAGUUCAAUGCACCUUGGUUGUGUCUUAUGAGUUAUGACUUGAAUAUUCUAAUUCACAGGUUUGCCAUUGCGCAUUUCAUUAACCAUUAUCUUGACAAAAGCUACAUGAUCCAAAGACAAAAAAUGUCCCUUCUUCCACGCAAAGUAGCGGUGUCCGUACUAACUUCCAUUAUCUAUAUAAUUGGUGAUAACAUUAGUCCAUUAAACAUCUCAAUGUUAAAAUGGCUACUUAAUGUUAACAUUUUAAAGCUACAAGAUUCCUCUUACAAAAUAACUAGUCCAUUUAAAAAGAUCGAUAGACAAAAACAUGUCCCUUCAAUGAUUCACAUUACAAUAUAAUGAAGAACAUUUGACAAUUCUGAAUUAUGAUCUAAACAAAAAAGAACAGUGCUGCAUAUCGGUAUCCCAACUCAAUUGAUCAUAAUAAUUAGUAAAUCAAACAACAUGAUUAAACAUCUUACCAGUAUAAUCCCUUUGAUGACAUCGUCCGAGUAAUACCCAGAUUCCGUUUCUUGCAGGGACAGCAGAACCUGAAUCAAAUUCGUUUUCUUUUCGCCACAACAAUCACUCUCCACUAUUUUUCUCCGCUGCUCUUCUAUCAAGUACUGCAUGAAACUAUCGCUCUUUAGAUGGCACUCUGUCAAUCUCUUCUCCAUCUUUUUUGAUUUAAUCCACGGUAUAAAGUCUCCAAUAAUGGUUUUGCCACCUAGCAAGAAGCUUUCAGCAUGAAUUGCGCGAAACCUUUUUGCUUCUUCCACAUCAGAAACAUCCUCUCCAUAAUAUCUCUUUCCAGCUAUCAUCCGCAUCAUUAUAUUCAGUGUCAAUUCGAAGAAAACUGUCUUCAUAUCUACAAUCUGAUUUUGAUUACGAAAGAGAACACAAAUCAUUGACUUCACCUCCUCCAGACGUAUGGCAGAGAGCAUUUGGAGGCGGUGUGCAGACAGGACUUCAAUAGAGACGAUUCUCCUAAGGUUUCGCCAGUGGUCGCCAUAGGGAGCCCAAGCAAGGCUUGUGCUGUUGUAGGCGAGGUGUUUUGCAAUGAGCAAACGUGGGCGGUUUGCAAAGACAACAUCAUUUUUGGUAAAGCAUUCUUCAGCUAUCGAAGGGGAUGAGACAACAAGUUGUCGACGAGACCCGAGUUGGAGCAAGAUUACGGGGCCAUGUUUACUAGAGAUUUUUGAUAGUGUCCUGUAAAUUGGCUUCUUAAGUAGGUAGAGAUGGCCAAUGAUUGGUAGUGAAGGGAAUGGACUCGGUGGGAAGUUUCUUAUCUUGUUUAGGAAGUGCGCUGUUAUGAUAUACAAGGCUAAAAACACAGGAAAGUAGAGAAAGAAGGUUGCCAUGGAUUUGGCAAUAGCCACUGCCACUGUCCUUGUUUUUUAGGGAGGUGUGUGAAUUAUAUUGUGCGUGUCUUGAUGAGAGCAUCUAUAUGUUAAUUAUUUCAUACUAGGAGUCACGGAAAUGAAAGAAACAGAAUUGAAAUUUCUUGAGGUCGAGUCUGCUCGUCUUAUCUCAUCGAUAUAAAAAGCAACUAUGGACGUGAUGACUGAUGAGGUCAGUGCAGACGUGUCUGUAUUGAACUAGUUACGUGCGAAGUUAUUAAACGGGACACGACACGAGCUUUUGGUAAUGACUAAUGAGUUAAAUAUUAAGCAUAACAUGCGUUUGAAGAUUUUUUUAAAAUAUUAAAUAUAAUAUUGUUUAAAUUUCUUUUCAAAAAAUAAUUUUUAUAUGGUUAAUUCAAUUAAAAGUUGACUUAUCAAGUCAGAAAUUCAUUCGACACUUAGCGCAGGAGCUAGAAACCAAAACAUAUAUAGAUCAUGCAAGGAACGCCAUAAUCAACUAACAGCUACGAUCUCUAGAGAGAAUUAGUUGCCAAGUUGGGAAAUCACAUGUAUCCCUUCCAAAGGUGCCCAGAGGACGGGGCAGACGCAUCAGAGCGACAACCCGGGAGCGGAUUCCCUACCGGCAAGGGGGCAGGAGACGGUCAUCUCGAGGCACAUCACGACCUACAGGCAAGAUCGACGAGGCUAGUGGAGGUCACGACCCACGGCAAGGUGGCCUUCCACGCAGUCACUAUAUCUAUAUGAAUAUCGUUCUUGAACUUCUAGAGCUAGCCCAGUCCAAAAGAGGCUAGUGAAGGUCACAUGAAUGGAAAGCCCUUGAUUCCUAAUUUAAAAAAAAAAAAACAAAAAAACCAAAGAUUUCUUGCUUUUAUUGCCAAAUCGUAUGUGAACAAAUUUUAUUUGCUGCAAUGCUCCCUUGUUUUCUAAAAUCUUAGUCAUUUCGCAAGUGGCACUUAUGAAAAUUCUUCCUUUUUCAAAUUAUAUACAAAAGCAUGGUAGUGUCUCCAUUCUCCACAAGUCUCAACUUACGAGAGCAGGUGCUAUCUGCUAGAUUAGAAAAAGGCAUGGCAAUGUCUGAAAGAACAAGGCAAAUUCAACUGAUAAAAAACUACCGAAGCAAAGAGACUGUGAACAAAUGGCAAGAGUAAAGGUUUCCCUACUUUUUUUUAUGCAGCAUAUAAAUGGAGGGAGGAUAUAUGAUACGUGGCAGUUAUUCUUUCGAUCACAAGUGAAAUGGAAGGCAGCCAUUUUUUUUUUUAUAAGCAAAAGGUAAUAAAGCCCAAGAAAGGCACAAACCAUAGCCAUGUGAUAAUAUGGAAACUGUCAUAAUCUAUUUUUCAAUUAUUUUUUAAAUUUACUUUUAAAAAUAAAUAUAUAACAUAAAAUAAAAUAAAAACUUGUGAUAUGGAGAAAACAUAUCAAAAAGGAUCCCAAACAUAUAGGAAAAUAAAGUUGCAAUUUUAGAUAAAUUUUGAGGCCUGAUUAUACAUCAUUAUACCCAGGAUUGAAGAUACAAUGCAGAUUCAAGGUCAAAUUAAAUAAUUACUGGAUGAAUUUGUAUAAAAAUUAAAUCCAAUGAUAUAAUUAAAUUUUUAAUAAACCCAUUCGAUUUAAUCAUGAGUCAAAUUAAAGUUUAAUUAUGUUUGAGAAUUAAUUUGGGUCCAAUUGAAGAAUUUAAUUAGGUGCAAGGACGUAAUUAAAUUUUAAAUGAGUCAAAUUAAUUUUAUUAAGGGUUUAGUUAGUGAAAACUUAAUUUUGGAAGCCUAAUUUGGGUUUAAUUGAAAAUAUUAGAAUUUUAGGAAAUCAAAUUUAAUUUUUACAAAAUCAAUUGAUUGAAAUCAUGGAUAAAAUAAAAUAAAGUUUUCAGGUUGGGUAGGGGAUAAAUUAAAGAAUUUUAUAGCUAAUGAUCAAUUUACAAAAGUCGUCGAACUAUAAAAGCUUAAUUCAUUGCAAUCGAGGUGAAAAUAAAGAAAUUAAAAGUUUCAUGGUUAAUUAGGUGCACAAUUAUAUAAAUCCGAGAUCAAUGACUAAAAUGAAAACAACAUAAAAUGAGGUCUGAUAUUAUAAUUCAACGGGGCCUAAAUUAUAUUAAAUCCAAAGUUUAGGGUUAAUUAAAUGUACAAUUAAAGAAAUCAAAAGUCAAAUGACCAAAAAGAACUUUGACUAAAAUUUAUAAUUCAAACAUAAAACAAUGACAUUUCAAAUUAAAAAAAUAAAAAACCAAACAUCAUUAACAAUACUCUAAAAGACAUGGAAAUGUAUUGUAGCUUCUCCCAUGCCUUUUAUUUUCGUUGUACUAAUAUCUUUAUUUUUUUUGUCUUUAAAUUCCUCACGCCUUUUAUUUUUGUUGUACUAAUAUAUAUAUAUAUAUAUAUUUUUACAUGUUUUCCCCCCAUGAUUCACUUCUUUUUAAAAAAAAUUAUAUGUUUUUUUCAAAAUUAUUUUUGCUGAUUGUUUUUUAAUAUUAAACUAGUUGAGAAUUUCGCUCUGUUAUUUAAAACAAAACAUUGUAAAUUGAUAAGGUAUUUUCCUCACAUGGUUUUUCUUUUGCUACAAUAUCUCUUUAUAUGGUUUUUUUUUCAAAAUUCUCUUUGUUGAUUUUUUUUUUAAUAUUGAGCUGGUUAACAAUUUAUCUUUAACUUUCCCCGCAUGUUUUUUUCUUUAUUUUUUGUUUUUUUAUUUUUUUCCCAAAAUUGUGUUAUUUUUUCUGUGUGUUUUUUUUUAGAAUUGUUUUUGUCGACUUUAUUUUUUUAAUAUUGAACUGGUUGAGAAUUUAGCUUUAUAGAUUUUUCAUUAAAACACUGUUGAUUGCUAUAGUGUUUUUCCAUAUGGUUUUGUUUUUCCAGAAUUGUCUUUGUUAAUUUUAGUUUUUUUCAUAUUUAGCCGAUUGAUAAUUUAGAUUUGUAGUUUUUUUCUUAAAAAAAAAAAACAUUGUGGAUCGUUACAAUAUUUAUCUACAUGAUUUUUCCUUGCUACAAUGUUUUUUCACAUGUUUUUUUAUCAAUUUUUUUCAAAUUUAUCUUUGUCAAAUUUAUUUUUUCUAUAUUAAGUUAGUUGAAAAUUUAGUUUUGUAGCUUUUUUCUUCAAAACACCGUUGAUUGCUAAAGUGUUUCCUCACAUGAUUGAUUUUUGUUAUAAUUAUUUUCAAAAAUUUCUUUAUCGAUUUUAUUGUUUUUAAUAUUGAACUGAUUGAAAAUUACAACUGUAGAUUUUCUCAUGAAACACUGUAGAUUACUACAGUGUUUUCAUGCAUAGUUUUUUUUUUCCUUUCGUUUUUAAUUUUUUUUUAAAAUUAUCUUUAUUGAUUUAUUUUUGUAAUAUCGAGUUGGUUGAUAAUUACAACUGUAUAUUUCAUCACAAAAUAUUUUAGAUUGCUGCAGUGUUUUUUCUACAUAAUUAUUUUUUCUUUUGUUUUUUUUAUGAUUUUUUUCAAAAUUAUCCUUGUUUAUUUUUUUUUUAAUAUUAAACUGGUUAGAAAUUUAGCUUUGUAGUUUAAUUUUUCUUGAAAAUAUUGUGGAUUGUAAUAGUAUUUCUCUAUGUAAUUAUUUUUUAUGAUUUUUUCUAUAAAUGCAUAAUAACAUAUAAACAUGCUAUAAAUCCACGGCAGCACGCGGCCAUGGCAACUAGUAUCAUCUCGAUACUGUUUAUUAUCUUUAUAUUAUUAUUAUUCACCUAAAAAGCCAUAGGAUGCAUGCUUGGGCGUGCCCUACAUCUAGCUUGCAGUGGUUUUGCCUUUGUACUGGUAAACCCGGGCCCCUCGGUCAUAUCCACCAUUUUAUCACCAAUCUUCUGCCAACCGAAACAUUGAAGGAGCGAGCCCAAUGCUAAUCCCACCACUCUCAGGGCCAAGACUUCUCCAGGACAGCUCCUCCUUCCAUGCCCGAAAGGCAUCAACUUAAACCCGUCUCUUCCCCCCUCCGGGUUGUCGAACCUCUCAGGUCUGAAUUUUGUAGGGUCUGGCCAGAUUUUAGGGUCAUUUUGAAUGGCCCACAUAUUUACAGAGAGCAUCGUGCCCCGUGGAAUGCGGAAUCCUCCAACCAGGCAUUCUUCUGAUGACUCAUGAGGUAGUAGCAACGGCGCUGGCGGGUACAUCCGCAACGUUUCGUUGAGGAUGCUGCGGAGGUAGGGAAGGUGGGCAAGAUCAGCUUCAUCCAUGAAACGAUCAUGCCCAAUCUGCUCGUCGAUUUCUCUUUGAGCCUUCUCGAGGACUUGGGGAUGGUUGAGCAACAGUGAAAGUGCCCAUUCCAUUGUAGCAGAUGAAGUAUCUGUUCCCGCCAACAAGAGGACCUACACACCAAACCGAAUAGUGGUAAUUAAUUCCAUAGACGAUGCAAAGAAAGUCACCAAAGUGACCUCCCACUCCCUUGUCAAUUCACAAUGGUGGUGUAACUUGACACGGAAACAACUUCUAGCAGUGGAGGUAUCUUACUGCUUGUAGAAAUAUCAAAUAAAGAUGAUGCAAAUCAAAUCACCAGAGUGAUCUCCCACACCCUUGUCAAUUCAAUACACCUUGGUUGCGUCUAUUUCUAAUACAUAAAGUUUGGUGCUAUACAUUAGACUUGUGAGUCACCUAAUCUCAAGGCAAUUAGACUUAGCAUGCUAAGUUCUAAGUGAAGUAGGUCUAAUUGAUAUUUAUUUUUCAUUCAGUAUUAUCAAUAAUUACAAUGCAAUUCCUCAUAUUUUACAUAAAAACAAGAUUUAGAAGCUAUAUAUACAUGAUAAAUGCUUCAUAAAAAAGUUUAUAUUUUUCAAUUCUCUACUCCUUUAAUAUUUGAAAUUUAUCACCGAAUGAUUUUUAAGUUCCUCCAAUUAAAAUUGUUUUUUUAGUAUUCAAGACUAUCUUUGUAAAUUUAAAGUUUUUUAAAUUUAAAAACAUUUGAAUACCUUAACUUAAUAAUUAACUCCUGUCCCAAAAACUAAAUAAACUAUUAAUUUAUAUUGAAAAUUUUAAUAUUUAACAUGUCAAUGUUAAAAAGGUUACUUAAUGUCAACAUUUUAAAGCUACAAGAUUCCUCUUACAAAAUAACCAGUCCAUUUAACAAGAUCGAAAGAAAAAACAUGUCCCUUCAAUGAUUCACAUUAUAAUACAAUGAAGAACAUUUGACAAUUCUGAAUUAUGAUCUAAACAUAAAAGAACAGUGCUGCAUAUCGGUAUCCCAACUCAAUUGAUCAUAAUAAUUAGUAAAUCAAACAACAUGAUUAAAGAUCUUACCAGCAUAAUCCCUUUGAUGAGAUCGUCCGUGUAAUACCCAGGUUCAGUUUCUUGCAGGGACAGCAGAACCUGAAUCAAAUUCGUUUUCUUUUCGCCACAACAAUCACUCUCCACUAUUUUUCUCCGCUGCUCUUCUAUCAAGUACUGCAUGAAACUAUCGCUCUUUAGAUGGCACUCUAUCACUCUCUUCAACAUCUUUUCUGAUUUAAUCCACGGUAUAAAGUCUCCAAUAAUGGUUUUUCCACCUAGCAAUAGGGUUUCAGCAUGAAUUGCUCGAAACCUUUUUGCUUCUUCAACAUCAGAAACAUCCUCUCCAUAAUAUCUCUUUCCAGCUAUCAUCCGCAUCAUUAUAUUCAGUGUCAGUUCGAAGAAAACUGUCCUCAUAUCUACAAACUGGUUCUGAUUACGGAAGAGAACACAAAUCAUUGACUUCACCUCCUCCAGACGUAUGGCAGAGAGCAUUUGGAGGCGGUGUGCAGACAAGACUUCAAUAGAGACGAUUCUCCUAAGGUUUCGCCAGUGGUCGCCAUACGGAGCCCAAAGAAGGCUUGUGGUGUUGUAGGCGAGGUGUUUUGCAAUGAGAUAGCCUGGGCGGUUUGCAAAGACAACAUCAUUUUUGGUAAAGCAUUCUUCAGCUAUCGAAGGGGAUGAGACAACAAGUUGUCGACGAGACCCGAGUUGGAGCAAGAUUACGGGGCCAUGUUUACUAGAGAUUUUUGAUAGUGUCCUGUAAAUUGGCUUCUUAAGUAGGUAGAGAUGGCCAAUGAUUGGUAGUGAAGGGAAUGGACUCGGUGGGAAGUUUCUUAUCUUGUUUAGGAAGUGCGUUGUUAUGAUAUACAAGACUAAAAACACAGGAAAGUAGAGAAAGAAGGUUGCCAUGCAUUUGGCAAUGGCGUCGGUUUCUUUUUUGUUAUUAUUAAUAUGGGAGUCUGGAUUUAGAAAGUUACCUUAAAUUGUUUUGUGCGUGUCUUGGUACUAGGAGGCACAGUAAUGAAAGUAACAGGGUUGAAAUUUCUUGUGGUCGAGCAUGCUUGGCUUAUCUCAUCAUAUUAAAAGCAACGAUGGACGUGUUGAGGCCAGUGCUGACGUAUUUGUAUUGAACUAGUUACCUGCGAAGUUAUUAAACGGGACACAACACGAAUUUUUGGUAAUGAGACAGGCUAGGUGGAGCAUGUAGUAUUUAUUCUUAAAUACAUACAUACAUACAUACAUACACACACACGUAAAUAUACAUAUUAAAAUAACUUUUUUAUUUCUAAAAUUUAUUUUUAAUAUUAAUAUUGUCCCAUUCGACAUUACAACGACCUAUAAAACAAAUUAAUUCAAAAAAAAAUAAAAAUUGAUAUCUUGUUUUUAAAUAAAAAAAAAUUUAAUUCAAAGAGUUGUUAUCUAGUAUUAUAUUCACUAAAAAAUCUAAUUGGUUAUGAUAAAUAAUCGUGUUGAAAGAUUAUUUUCUUAUUGAUAUUAUGUUGAAUGGAUGUAUCAAAAGAUUAUUUCAUGAUUAAUUAAAAUAAUAUCAUAUUAAAUAAACAUGUUGAAAGAUUAUUUCAUGAUUAAUAAAAAUAAUAUUUUAUUGAAUAGACGUGUUGAAAAAUUAUUUUUUAUUAAUAAAAAAAAUCCCUUGUUAAAUGAGCAAGUAAAUUAUUAUUUUAUGAUAAAUGAAAAUAGUGUACUAAUCAAUGAGCUGAGAAUGUUAUUUUCUAAUUAAUGAGUAUAAUUCCUAGUAAAGAUUGGCAUUGAGGUUAAUAUAUUGAUGAUAAGUUACUUCAUUCAAUCAACGAUGCAGUGAAUGCGUUUUUAAGCAUGAAUUAAAUUGUUUUUUUGAUUGUUUAUUAGUAAAUUUUAAUAUUACCUAGGUAUAUAUACAUUCCAUAUGAAUAUGUUUUUAUAUAUCUGCACUCUUUAGUUGGGAAGUAGAUGUAUUGAUGAAAGUUUUUUUAUAGAAUUAAUUAUGUAUUUGAAGAAAUUAAUAUUUUAUUGUUAUGUAACCUGUUGUUUAAAAUUUUAAAUGUUUAAAUUAUAUUUUAUAUACGAUGUAAUUGAGGAUAUUACCUCAUUGAGGUAGCAUAUAAUUUUGUUGCACGUCAAAUUAAACAUGUCUAUUUUUUAAAGAAAUUGAUGCUUGCUGUGAACUAAUCAAUUUUAAAAUUUAGUUUUAUGGAAUAUUAUAAUGCUAACUCAAAAAAAAAAAAAAACAAGAAGAAGAAGAAGAAGAAGUUGAUAUUGUAGUUGAGUUGUGAAGUUAGUAUAACGAGACGAGCAUUGUCAUUAUUAUCUGUAGGUUAAAUUUUUUUUCAAGUCAAUAAUUUAUUAUUAAAAAUACAAAAAAACUUUACUGAAAUUCUAAUAUAUAUAAAAAAUCACACCCAGUAAAAUCAACACAUGUAUAUAUACAUACAUACAUAUAUAUAUUUAUUUAUAUAUGCUUUUUUUUUGGGCUGUUACACAAGGUGUACCGAAAGAAACCCCACCGGAUCCGAGGCUUGUCGUAUUGAGAUAUUGUCGGGCGCCAAGUUUACUGACUACUCACCUACCAGUACGCUGUGCCUUACCGUUAGAGAUCUUUGGAUGGUUUAGGAAGAGUGAUAUUUUCUAGUUUAAUUAUUUUCCAGUACGUGGCCUUGGCCCAGCAAGGUUUGUACAAUUGUAGGCGAGGUGUUUUGCAGCAGCAAAAGAGGGCUGUUUGCAAAGACAACAUUAGAGGCCAAGGCCCACGGGCCAGGCACACUCCUAGUGGCUGGGCUCGAACAGAGGGUGUUGGAUGUUUGCCCACCACUUCGGCUCGUACACUCGGCCAGCACCUGGGCUCGGUCAUGUUUCCCGAUUCUUAAAGGAAUGUGAAUUUAGUAAUUGAUGCUGUAAUUAUUAUGGAUUUAUGCUAAAAGUGAACAUCUUUUUAUAAGAGUCAAUCGAGUAAAACUAGCUGAAUUACUUUUUUUAUGCCCAAAUUAAACUUAAAAAAAGGUUGUUGUUUUGGAAUUUUCUUUAUUAUUAUUGGAUUUUUUUACUUGAUUAGGUUUGAAAUAUUUAUUUAUUUUAUAUUUUAUUAGUUAUGUUAGUUUGGCUUAUUAUUUAAAACAAUCUUGCAAAUCAUUGAUAUUCAAAACCUGUUAAAUUAAAAUUCUCUUUACAGCUUACCUGUAAUUUUAGAGUUUACCAGUCAAUUGCUUACACACUAUCCUGAGAAGAUGUAAUGUUAUUAUGCGUAUACAAACUCGGCGAGUUAUUAUGGUGAUUUCAAUCUUUAAACCGAACUAAAUUUUAAAAUAAAUAAUGAGAAAAUUUAUUUAAUUUAACAUGGUUGACUUGUUUACCGCACUCAUUAUUUAGUUAAUCUGGCCAAAACAUAAAUUUAAUUUUGUUCUUAUUUUAGGAACGAAGAGGAUUUAGAUUUAAUUUUUUUUAAAAAAAAAACUGCUUAUAAUGUUUUAUCAUAUUGUAUAUUCACAACACUCCAAUUUCCUUAUGUCUUGCAUACAUGUACAAUUGUGCAAAUUGACUGCCACCCAAAAAGUAGCAAAUCAAUGCAGGCAGGAUGUAUGACACGUGACUGUUAUUCUUUCCAUUAGAAGUGAAAUAGGAGGGAAGUAGUUCAACACUUCAACUGAUAGUUAUUGGAUGAGGGAGAGUAAGAUAAUAAUUAUUUUUAGUAGUUAUAAAUUUAUUAAAAAUGUAUUUUUUUUUUAAAUAUUAAUAUAUUAAAAUUAUUUUAAAAAACUAAAAAAUAAAUUUCAAUAAAAAUCAAAUUUUAAUGAAAAAUAAAUUACUCUGCAACUCAAACAAGAUCUAGGACAGGUUUGUUUUUUAUAAAAUGGUUUUCGAGAAACUAUUUUCCAAACUUUUAUGUGUUUGUUUGCCAUUAAAGAAGUUGGUCAAUGAAAAACAUUUUCCAGUUAAAGAAAAAUUUUACUUAGUUUCUAGAAAAGUGUUUUCCUGAAAAAUUUGAAUAGAAAACACUUUUUGGAAGUUAUGAAAAAUUUAGAAAUGUCAUAUUAUUUGCUGAUUAUAUCAAAUUUGGUCCUCAAACUUUUAAUUGUUAUAUAUAUUUUGUUUUGAAUAUUUAUUUUUCAAUCUCAUCUUCUAAAAUUUAAUUUUUAUAUUAAUUUUGGUACUUAUUUUUAUAAUUAUUAUUUGUUUUUUACUUGUCAUUUUUUAUUGAAAUUUUUUAUUGAAAUUUUUUAUCUAUCAAAUUUUGGUACUCAUUCUUUUGAUUGUUACUUAUUUUAUUUGAAAUAAAUUAUGAAUGUUAAUUAUUAUUAUUUUAAUUUAUUCAUCUUUUAUUUUUUUUUAUUAGAUUAAAUUUCUAUUAUUUUGAUUAUUAUUUAUUUUAUUUGAGAUAAUUUAUAAAAUUAUAUUUUUUUUCAAUUUCAUUAUUAUUGAACUUUUUAAUUUGUAAAAUUUAUUUCUCAUUAUUUUAAUAAACUUGAAAAAAAUAAAAUAUCAAUAAGCUAUUUUACAGCUCAUUUUCUAUGAUAUAACCAAAUACUAAAAAGUAUUUUUUAAUUUAUUUUUUAUUACACUAACAAACAUCAAAAAAUAAUUUAUUUUUAAAAAAAAAAAAAAUUUUUAAAAAAACUAUUCUUUAGCAAACAAAAUGCCUAAAAAUAUUUGGGAUUGAGUUGCCGUGAAGUGAGGUUAGAUUUUUUUUGCAGUACGAUCCCUUUUGAAACACAAAUAUCAAGAAAAUCCACACCCACUGAAAAUUAAAAACACAUACUCUUUAUUAAUUUUUUUUAAAAUCCCAUAAAAAAACAAAUCCUUAUCUUGCCUCACCCAAAUCCAAAAGACACCUUAUAAUGCUUAGGUUAUGCAGGCCACGUAACCUAUAGGUAGAGUCACAUCAAGAUAUCAAUCAAAAGUCAUGGAAGAAUAUAUGGUUCAUAUUUGAGAAAGAAGCGGAAGCAUGCGUGGGCGUGCCCUACAUAGAGCUUCUAGUGGUUUUGCCUUCGGAACGGUGAACCCGGGACUCUCGGUCAUGUCCACCAUUUUAUCACCAAUCCUCUGCCACUCGAAACAUUGAAGGAGCGAGCCCAAUGCUAACCCCACCACUCUCAGGGCCAAGCCUUCUCCAGGACAGCUCCUCCUUCCAUGCCCGAAAGGCAUCAACUUGAACUCGUCUCUUCCCCCCUCCGGGUUGUCGAACCUCUCAGGUCUGAAUUUUGUAGGGUCUGGCCAGAUUUUAGGGUCAUUUUGAAUGGCCCACGUAUUUACAGAGAGCAUCGUGCCCCGUGGAAUGCGGAAUCCUCCAACCAGGCAUUCUUGUGAUGACUCAUGAGGUACUAGCAACGGAGCUGGAGGGUACAUCCGCAACGUUUCGUUGAGGAUGCUGCGGAGGUAGGGAAGGUGGGCAAGAUCAGCUUCAUCCAUCAAACGAUCAUGCCCAAUCUGCUCGUCGAUUUCUCUUUGAGCCUUCUCGAGGACUUGGGGAUGGUUAAGCAAAAGUGAAAGUGCCCAUUCCAUUGUAAUAGAUGAAGUGUCUGUUCCCGCCAAUAAGAGCACCUGCAAGCCAAUAGGCAGUGGAGAUAUCUUAUUCUAGCUGGUGUAACUUGACACGGCAACAACUUCUAACAGUGGAGAUAUCCUACUGCUUGAAUAUUCUAAUACACAAGUUUGCUAUUGCGCAUUUUCAUUUUCUUGACAAAAGGAAGAUCCAAAGACAAGAUAAUGAAAAUUUAACAAUCCUGAAUUAUGACUUAAACAUUAAAGAAAAGUGCUCCAUUAUGAUAUCACUACUCAAUUGAUCAUAAUAAUCAGUAAAUCAAACAACAUGAUUAAAGAUCUUACCAGCAUAAUCCCUUUGAUGAUAUCGUCCGUGUAAUACGCAGGUUCAGUUUCUUGCAGCGACAGCAGAACCUGAAUCAAAUUCUUUUUCUUUUCGCCACAACAAUCACCCUCCAAUAUUUUUCUCCGUUGCUCUUCUACCAAGUACUGCAUGAAACUAUCCCUCUUUAUAUGGCAUUCUAUCAGUCUCUUCUCCAUCUUUUUUGAUUUAAUCCACGGUAUAUAGUCUCCAAUAAUGGUUUUUCCACCUAACACGAAGGCUUCAGCAUGAAUUGCUCGAAACCUUUUUGCUUCUUCCACAUCUGAAACAUUCUCUCCAUAAUAUCUUUUUCCAGCUAUCAUCCGCAUCAUGAUGUUCAGUGUCAGUUCGAAGAAAACUGUCUUCAUAUCUACAAUCUGACUCUGAUUACGAAAGAGAACACAAAUCAUUGACUUCACCUCCUCCAGACGUAUGGCAGAGAGCAUUUGGAGGCGGUAUGCAGACAAGACUUCAAUAGAGACGAUCUUCCUAAGGUUUCGCCAGUGGUCGCCAUAGGGAGCCCAAGCAAGGCUUGUGCUGUUGUAGGCGAGGUGUUUUGCGAUGAGCAAACGUGGGCGAUUAGCGAAGACAACAUCAUUUUUUGUAAAGCAUUCCUCAGCUAUGGAAGGGGAUGAAACAACAAGUAGUCGACGAGAUCCGAGUUGGAGCAACAAUACAGGGCCAUGUUUACUAGAGAUUUUUGAUAGUGUCCUGUAAAUUGGCUUCUUCAGUAGGUAGAGAUGGCCAAUGAUUGGCAGUGAAGGGAAUGGACUAGGUGGGAAGUUUUUUAUCUUGUCUAGGAAGUGCCUUGUUAUGAUAUACAACGCUAAAAUCACAAGAAAGUAGAGAAUCAAGGUUGCCAUGGAUUUGUGAAUGGCCACUGUUCUUGUUUUUUAGGAAGGUGUAUGAAUUAUAUUGUGCUAUGCAUCGAGACUAUCCAGAUACCCAUUACUUUAGUACAGUAUUCGAAUCCAAUAAAUUCUCAAAAGUCGUCCAUGCCUGUCUACUCUCACCAUUUAAAAAAGGGUACUAUGGACGUGAUGAGGUCAGUGCAAACGCAUUACUGGUGAACUAGUGACAUGCACAGUUUCUAAGACCUUUUUAAACAUACUUGUCUGAUAUGAGAGGCAUGUUUUUUUAUAAAAAAAAAUUAAUAUAUAAUAUAAUCUGAAUUAAUAUAUAAAUUUAUUUUAAAAUAUCAUUUAAUAUCAAAUAAAAAAUAUUAGAAGAUAAGCUUUUUAUAAAAUACAAUUUGAAAAAAAAAUUAUUUUAUUUUUUAAAAAGUUAAGCGAAUCCACGGCAGUCUAAAAAAAUAAUUUUAUUGGUGUUUGAUUUUUUUAAAAUAAAAUUCUUUAAUUCUAUUUAAAUAAAGUUUUUUUUUUAAAAAAUAAAUAAAGCACAGCCCUUUAAAAAGAAGUUCGGGAGUCUGGCCUGAUGGACACCAAUAACCAUAGCUGUGUAAAGCAACCGUCCAGUCUAGCAUGUUGACUCAGAAAACUGAAAUUUAGAAUCCGAUUCAGACAGGUUUUCUAGUUUAAUGAUACAAGACACGACUGCACUUAUAUAGAGGAUUUUUCUAAGGUUUCGCCAGUAGUCCCCACGAGGAGGCCAAGCAAGGUUUGUAAAGCACCUUGCUUGCAGGGCCAUGUUGACAAGGAAAUUUGGACCAAAAAAAAAGGUUUGUAAAGCACUCUUCAGCUAUUGAAGGGGGCGAGUCGAAAAGAGCUCUACGGGAACCGAAGGGGAGCAAGAUUGCAGGGCCAUGCAUGUUGACAAGCAAAUUUGGACAAGUGUCCAGUAAAUUGAUUUCUAAUGGAGGUAGAGAUGGCGGAGACUGGUGGCGCAGGGAAUGGACUUGGUGGGAGAGGGAGGUUUCGGAACGAGGACAAAAAACUGAGUGAAUAAAAUAGAUGCUAGAAAGAUAGCAGGCAGAAAGCGACAGCAAAAAAAGACAAAAAUUAUUAUAGCAAAAACAUAAUAGUAUUUCCCAUUAUCGAGUGUUGAAGAUAUUGUCAAAUAUAGUAAAAAGACAAAAAUUAUUAUAGCAAAAACAUAAUUGUAUUUGCUUGCUUAAACGAAUACUGUUACAUCAUGGUACUAUAUAUAUUACAAUUCUUGAUUAAAACAAUAUUAUAAUUAAGAAUGUAAUGAAUGAGAAGAUAUAUAUUUAAUUUCUAGAAUAUUUGUUGUAGAUAUAAUCAUAAUCAUUUUUAGUAUAAGUAAUUUCUUGUAUAGAUAUAAUUAAAAAUCAUGAUUAUUUUCAAUAUCAGUGAUCCCUGAUCAUGAUAGUAAUUUUUUAUCAUAAUUAUCUUUAAUAUCGAUAAUCUCUUGUGUGUUUAUGAUAUUAUCUUCAAUAUCAAUAAUCAUUGAUUAUAAUUAUUUUCAGUAUCAAUAAUAAUUUCUUAUACAGAUAUAAACAAAGAUCAUGAUUAUCUUUAGUAUUAGUGAUCCUGAUCAUGAUAAUAAUCCCUGAUUAUGAUUAUCUUCAAUAUCAAUAUUAUCUUCAGUGAAUUUGAUAAUAUCUUCAACCUAUUGUGCUAAAUAAUGAAUAUGCCCAAAAUAUUGUUGGUAAGCUCUUAGAUCUUAGAAGCAUCAAAUAUUUUUGCUUUGUUUUGAUUUAAGAAUCUAAAUUGAUUUUUUUACUCGUUAAUCAUUUGUUGAUUGUAUAUAUGAUAGUGGGUUUAAUAAGAGCUAGUACAUGCAAAAGAUAGAAUAAAAAAAAAGGUUGAUGAUCUUUGAGUUGAUUGGCUCCAUAUAAAUCAUUGCAUUGCAUAUCUUCGGACUUCAUUUAAAAGCUUAAGCUUUUAGAUUGAAAUAGUUAUUUGAUAUGAUAUUAGAGUCUUGAUGACUAAACGAUCACGAGUUUAAACCCAAAGGGUUUUUACUUAAAAGGAUGUAUUAAAAAAUAAUAUAAAUUAUAUCCUGGAAUCUCAUAUAAAAACUUAAGCUUUUAGAUUGCAAUGUAAUGUUAAAAUUAUUUUUAAAAUAUUUUUUAUUUAGAAAUAUAUUAAAAUAAUAUUUUUUUAAUUUUAUUUUUAAUAUCCAAACAUGAAAAUAUUAUAAAAAUACAUUUUUUUAUAUAAAAAAAACAGGUUAUCUCAGCAUAAUCAAGAUAGAUAUGAUAGAAUAAUUCAAAGUUAGAAAUUUGAAACACGUGGAUGAUAAAGAAAAGGUCUCCUCGAGAAUUUUCUUUUCGUAGAGGCGUGUCGUUGGUUUCUAGGAUCAGGUUGCUAUGAAUUUAUGCACUAGAUUUGGAAAAGUUAUUAUUCCCUUUCAAUUAUAUGUGUACUGUUGUUUCAUGAUUCUCUAAAUGACUCUGUACUUGACUUUGCCUUUUUCACUGGUUAUCGAUCAUUGAUUUUCCUUAAUUCCAUAUAUAUUCCAGCAGCAAAUUUGGACGAUACUGCUUGGAUAAGGGAGCGCAAACCAUGAAUCAUGUCUAGCAUUUUUUUUUUCCUUAAAAUCAUGUUUGUGUGUUUUUUUUUUAUAAUAUAAAAAACAAGAUAAAUAUUAUUUUAAUAUAUUUUUGAAUAAAAAAUAUUUAAAAAACCAGCCGGCACUGUGAUACUAAACACUAUCUCUAAUAAGAGAGUUUGCAAUUUUAGCUAGCGAUCAUUGAUAUCCAGUCGCAUAUCAUUCGGAUAGAGUUGCUAAAAGCAUAUGGUAUAGACUAUAGACACUGAUUUUUCUAGAUAAUAACCAUAUAAUAUAGUAAAGGUGUCAAAAAUAACUUUGCAAGUAGACAACUUUAAAGCAAGGAGACACAAGAGGUAGGGUCAUGCCACCACGUUGUCAUAGCAAAAAAAUAAAUGGGCGGCUGAGAGUGCUUCCUUUCCUUUAAAGUAUCCACAACAUAACAUUAUCCCCGGCUCUAAUGGUAUGGGCGUCAAUUAUUGUUCUUAUGAACACUGCUUCUUCUUGCAUUUUUUUUAAUAGAUCCGCAUUUUAUUGGGUUAUGGGCGUCAAUUAUUGUUUUAUGAACAGUGUUUCUUCUUGCUUUUUUUGUUUUUUUAAUAGAUACACAUUUUAGUGGGUUAAUUCCACCUUUAUGAACAAGGUGACAGGUUUGGAACAUUAGUUUUAGUGGAUUUUAAAUUUUUUUUUAUUUUUUUUAUUUUAUCAUUAAAAAUUGAGUGGGUCAAGGGUUUAAACUUCUUCCUUUUGUUAUUUUAAUCUCGUAUUUCAAGUCAUAAGAUUAGACGGUUAACCUCUUGAUUUUGAUUUUUUUUUAUCCUUUAACAUUAUGUUAGUUUUAAAAUUAAAUUUUAUAAUUUUAUUCAAUUUUGUUUCUAUGCUUUUAUCUUGGUUUUAUAGCUAGUUCACAGAUUUGAGAGGCUCACUUAAGUAAUUUGAUUUUAAAUUUUUUUCUUUAAUAUUUGAUUUACUAGAAAUUGAACUUCUUAUGUCUUUUUCUACAUUGAUUUUUAUGUGGUUAUUCUAUUCUUGUUUUUUCUAAAAUUGAAUAUUGAAUAUUGAAUAUUUAAAAUUUUAUCAUUCAAUUUAAUAUUGUAUUAUUUUAAAAUUGAAUGUUAUUAUUUGUUUCAAUUUAUUUUUUAUAGGAUUAUUGAUAGUUAAUUUAAAUUGACACAAUUCAAUUCAAUAUAUUGCUUUUUUUAUAUUUAAAAAAUAAUUCCCAACAUACCAUAGUCUCAUUGUUGAAAAAUGUAUCAUUAUAGAAUACUCUAAUGGGAUAUUUAUUGUAGCAGGUGUUUUUUUUUUCUGUAGAAUUUUUUUUUUCCUGCUUUGUAUCUUCUACUAUUUUUUUACAUGUUUUUUUUUCUUUUUUCAAAAUUAUCUUUGUUAAUUUUUUUUUAAAUAUUGAGCUAGUUGAAAAAUUAACUAUGUAGUUUUUUUAAAAAAACAUUUAUGGAUUGCUAUAAUAUUCUCAUACAUUGUUUUUUUUUAUGAUUUUUUUAUUAUUAUUUUUUUUCAAAAUGGUCUUUGUAGAUUUUAUUUUUUUUAUAUUAAGUUGGUUGAGAAUUUAGCUUUAUAGUUUUUUUUUAAAAAAAUAAUAUGGAUUGCUACAGUAUUUCCCCUACAUAGUUUUUUUUUUUGCUGCAGUGUUUCCCCACAUGUUUUAUUUUUUUUGCUUUUGUUUCUUUUUUUUUUCUUCCGUAACAAUUUUUUUUUCCGCUUUUGUUUUUUCUGCUUUUUUUUUAACAUGUUUUUUUUUCUUUUUUUUUUAACCCAAAAUUGACUUCUUCUUCUUCAUCUUUUUCUUUUUUUUUUUCAAAAUUUUUUUUUCUAUUUUUUUUUAAAUAUUGAGCUGGUUGAAAAUUUAACUAUGUAGUUUUAAAAAAAAAAACAUUGUGAAUUACUAUAAUAUUCUCAUACAUUGUUUUUUUUUCUUUUUAUGAUUUAUCUAUUCUUUUUUUUCUUUCAAAAUGGUGUUCUUAGAUUUUUUUUAUAUUAAGUUGGUUGAAAAUUUAGCUUUGUAGUUUUUGUUUUGCUGCAGUGUUUCCCCACAUAUUUUUAAAAAAUUAUCUUUAUCAAAUUUAUUUUUUUAAUAUUGAGCUAGACGAUAAUCUAACUUUAUUUUUCCCCACAUGUUUUUUUAUUUUUUUUUAUAUUUUUCCAAAAUUGUCAUUUUUUACAUAUUUUCUUCUUUUUUUUGCUUUGUUUUUUUCAGAAUUAUUUUUUUUAUUUUAUUUUUUUGCUAUUGAGUUGAUUGAAAAUUUAGUUUUUUUUUGUUUUUUUCUUUAAAACACUAUAGUUUUCCCCGCGUGUUUUUUGCCGCUUUUGUUUCAUUUUUUUUACAUUUUUUUUACCCAAAAUUGACUCUUUUUUUUUUGAAAAUAGUCUUUGUCGGUUUUUUUUUAAUAUAUUAAGCUGGUUGAGAACUUAGUUUUUUAGUUUUUAAAAAAAAACACUAUGGAUUGCUACAAUGUUUCCCUUGCAUGGUUUUUAUUUGGCUGCAGUGUUUCCCCAACAUUUUUUUAAAAAAAUUAUCUUUUUUGAAAUUAUUUUUUAAAUAUUGAGUUGGUUGAGAAUUUAGCUUUAGCUUUAGCUUUCCCUACAUUUUUUUUUAAAAUUUUUCCCAAAAUUGUCUUUCUUCUUUGUAUUUUUUUAUCAUAAUUAUUUUUGUUAAUUUCAUUUUUUUACUAUUCAGCUGAUUGAGAAUUUAGUUUUGUAAUUUUUUUCUUUAAAAUACUAGAUUUCUACAGUGUUUUCUAUGUGAUUUUUUAUUAAAUAAUUUUUUUUUCUGAAUUAUCUUUAUCGAUUUUUUUUUCAUAUUAAGCUGAUUGAGAAUUUAACUUAUAGUUAUUUAAAACACUGUGUUUUCCCACAUGAUUUUUGUCUUGCUACAAUGUUUUUGCACAUGUUUUUUUUAUCGAUUUUUUUUUCCAAAUAUAUUUUUGUCAAUUUUAUUUUUUUUCAUACUGAACCGGUUAACAAUUUAGCUUUCUUUUCCUUAAAACAUCGUUGAUUGCUACAGUGUUUUACCUUAUGAUUUUUUUAGUUAUAUAUUUUUUUAAAUUAUCUUUGUCGUUUUUAUUGUUUUUAAUAUUGAGCUGAUUAAAAAUUACAACUAUAGAUUUUCUCAUGAAACACUAUAGAUUGUUAUAGUGUUUCCCUGCAUGUUUUUUUUUUAUAUUUGUCAAAAUUAUCUUUAUUGAUUUUUUUUAAUAUUGAGCUGGUUGAGAAUUAUAGUUUUAUAUUUCCUCACAAAACACUAUAGAUUGCUACAAUGUUUUUUUAAAUGAUUUUAAUAUUGAGCUGGUUGAAAAUUGAGUUUUAACUUUUCCCACGUGUUUUUUUUUAUUUGUUUUUGUUUUUUGUUUUUUUUUCUUCCAAAAUUGUCAUAUUCUUUUUUUCAUUGUUUUUGUGUUUUUUUUUCAUAAUUUUUUUUUUGUCGAUUUUUUUUUUUAACAUUGAGCUGGUUGAGAAUAUAGCUUUGUAGUUUUUUCAUUUAAAAUAUUUGUGGAUGGUAACAAUUUUUUUUAUAUGAUUUUUUUCACAAAUCCAUGAUAAUGCACAAGCAUGCUACAAGCCCGCGGCAUCGCGCGGGCAUGUCCCGCCUUUGACUAUUAUAUUUACUUAUUAAUAUAUUAUAUUAUUAUAAUUAUUAUAUUAUAAUUUAUAAUUAUAAUUAUUAUAUUAUAAUUAUAAUUAUAAUAAUUAUUAUAUUGUAUUAUAUUAUAUUUUUUUGUCGAUUUUUUUUUUUAACAUUGAGCUGGUUGAGAAUAUAGCUUUGUAGUUUUUUCAUUUAAAAUAUUUGUGGAUGGUAACAAUUUUUUUUAUAUGAUUUUUUUCACAAAUCCAUGAUAAUGCACAAGCAUGCUACAAGCCCGCGGCAUCGCGCGGGCAUGUCACACCUUUGACUAUUAUAUUUACUUAUUAAUAUAUUAUAUUAUUAUAAUUAUUAUAUUAUAAUUUAUAAUUAUAAUUAUUAUAUUAUAUUAUAAUUAUAAUUAUAAUUAUAAUAAUUAUUAUAUUGUAUUAUAUUAUAUUAUGUUAUAUUAUAUAAAUAUUUUUUCUUUUUAAUUUUUUAGUGAAUUAUUUUUGUUUGAUUUAAUUUGUUAAUGUUAAUUUUUUUUUAUUUAGUUAUUAGUUUUUCAUGAUACGGAUCUCGGGUUUAAUGGGUUAACCUGAUUUGACAAUUAUUUUUUCAUUUAGUUUAGUUUGUUAAAGUUAAUUUUCUUUCUAUUUAAUUAUUAUACUUUCAUACUUUCAUGACACGUGUCCUGGGUGUGACGAGUUAACUUGGUUUGACCGGUUAACCCAGUUAAUUCUGGGUAAACCCGUCAUUUUUUUUUCUAUUUAGUUAUCAAGCUUUCAUGACUCGAAUCCCAGGUUUUACGGGAUAACCUGGUUUAAAGGGUUAACCAAAUUAAUUCAAUUUUUUUUUCUUUUUCUUCAUUAGUUUUUUUCUUCUUGUUGAUUUUUUUUCUUUUUUUUUAAUUAAUCUAUUUAAUUAUCACACUCUUAUGACACGACAUUAUAGCCAGACCCACAUCCAAUAUUCUUUGGUCCGGUGUUGCAGACAGAAUCUCUUAAACUUGGGUCAUGCAAGUUUAGUUUUAUUAUUAAUAUUAUAAAUAUUACUUUUAGGUAAGGCGUUGCAGCCAAACCCAAGAUUCUUGGGUAUAGUUUUGCAGAAAAACCUAAAAAUUUUAAAUUUUUAUUUGUUUUAAUAUUUUUUAUGUAAAAAAAAUUACCCGCAACAUCGUGCGGGUCAUGUAUCUACUCUAAUCUAAUACGUGUCAAAUCUUGCAUUAUUGCUGAUUUUUUUUUUUUUUAUCUUAAGAAACAACACGUCAAUUUUUUUUGUUUGAAAAAAAUAAUAUUGCACGCACAACAAAUGCGAGUGAAUGAAGUAGCCACACUGCAUUGUUUGAAAAUUUCCCCUCUUUUUUAUUUUUUACAUGCUGUACAGUGAAAAAAGAGAGUUGUUGCCGCAGCAGCGUACGGUCAAGCCACCUAGUUAUAUAUUAAAUAAAACGAAAACAGUACUUGAGGUCAUUGGCUAGCGGGAAAAGAGACUUAUUUUCUUCCUCUGCACCGGGUUAGAUUUUUUUUGUGCAUUUAUAUAAUUAGUUGUGAUGUACUGAUGUGUAUAAACUGAUUUAAAUAUUCUAGAUUAUAUAUAUAUAUAAAAAAAAAAACAAAUCCACAAAAAGCAAUCACGAGCCACGAAUUUUGCCAGGGUUGAACUCUAGGUAGAAUGCGUUGAAUACAAGGGCCACCUAAGCUAAGAAACAAGACUUUAAGUUACCGAAAGAGGCUGGCAAGUACUUUUCAGACAUGGAAAACGGACAGAGAAUAUGGUAAAAGAUUCAGUUUUUCAUUCAUUUGACCCUGUAGGUUUCUUCGUGUAAGUUUUUCAACUCUAUUUUUAUCACGUUUUAGUCAUGAGUUAUAAAAUAAAAAAAAUCAUAAAAAAUAUAAAAUUAUAAUUAAUCAACACUCCAAUCAUAAAAAUAAAAUAAAAUAAGCAUGGUGUCCGUAAUAGAGGUGAUUUUGUAUCUAACUAUACUAAAAAAAAAAAAAUCAAGAAUUUGUUUUUGUUUUUACCUGGUUAUCCUCAUAUCCUUUUAGAGGGUGAGAUUAAUUCCGUUCGAGGUUUGUGGUUGCUUCUUCCAACAAGUACACUUUUUAGAUAUUAAACUUGUAUUUUUAUUUUUACAGGGAUAUAGUAGUGUUUUAAUUGCUACACCAAUAUUUCAUUUAUAUUAAAAAAUUAGGACUUAUAAUGAUAUUUUUAAUUCGGUUUGAAUUUCAAGUUUUAUAGUGAUUAAUUUUUUUUUACAGUUAAAAUGAAGUUUUCAAGAUUUAUAAUUCGGUUUGAAUUUCAAGACUUAUAAUAAUAUUUUUAAGAUUUCCAUGAUAUUUUAGAAGGUUUUAGUUACAAAUAAAGUUUAAAAUUGAGUUUUAAAUAUAUAAACUUAAACACCAAUUUUCUAGCUGCCAAAAAUCCACCGGAGUAUAAGACGGAUGACUUGUCAUCUGAUAUGUUAAAAAAAUUUACAAUCCUCCUAUUUAAGUUUUUUUUAAAAAACAGAGUGAGAAAGAUAGGUGCGUGAUUUUAGCUUUCCAAUCCUAUGUGUUCCUGGGGUAAUCUUUUGGACGUGCACAAAGCUGUCCUCCAAAAGCUAGGUGCCCGUAGCUCUUUCGUUAUAUAGAUUGUAACAUUGUUUUAUUUCUUUUUUUAUUUAAAUUCUUAGAAUAAAGUUUUUUUUUUUAUAACUUUAUUAAAAUAAUAUUUAACUAAUUAUCCAAUUAUAUCACAGUUUUCAAAGAAUUAGAGUAUAUUUUUGUAAUAUUAACAAUUAUAGGAUGAUUAGUUAUACAUUAACUUAAUAUAUGUAAUUUUUUUUAAAAAUAAUUUGCUAAUCAACCAUCAAUAAGAAUAUAAUAUUCAUUUUGUUAUUAUAAAUAUUUUAUAUAAUUUUCUUAGAUUAUUAUUUUUAUAUUUACUAUUACUUAUAUAUAUAAAAAAUCAAAAUAAUAUUAUUUUAAUAAUAUAUUUAAAAAUUCCUUCAUCUAUCAAUCACUGAAUUAAUUUAGUUGUACAUCAACUCGUUGAGUGAUUUGAAUUUAUCUAGCAAACAUCUAUCUUAUUUUAAAAAAGAAAACCGGGCCCAAGUUAAAUUUUAGAUUAAUAAAUCAUUGUGUCGAUUCGCUGAGUUUUUGGAAUUUAUUGUGAUAAAUUUAUAAAUAUCAGGUAUUAAUUAUUUUGAUUUACUAGAUACCAUUUUCUAUUAAUUAUUAAUUACCCGAGUUUUUCAUAUUAAGUUAUCGGAUAUUUUAAUUAAAAUAAAUAAAUUUAAUUACCUAAACUAAAAAAAUGAAUCAAUUAUUUAAUAUAUCAAUUUUAUUUCUAAGCACCUAAUUCUAGUACUCAUCACUGGCAAUCGUUUCAAUUAUCUUGUAAUGUAUUUUCCCGUAGAUUUCUAACACCCUCAAAACUUGCUGCAUAAAUUCGAUGACUUCAUAGUCAGUGUUGUUGUCCAAAACAAAAAUCGGGACCCUGUUGGCUGCUCUAAUAUUCACGAAGUGGCAACAAGUUUUCCUUUUUUUUUACUCGUUAUGCUUCAUUUUUUACGUUUUUAUCUUAUAGUUAAUUUCAUGCUAUCUGCUGGAUUAGAAAAAGGCAUGACAAAUUCAAUUACUAAACAACUAUCGUAGCAAAGAGACUGUCAACAUACGACAAAAGCAUAUUGGAUCCAUUAACUAUUAAGCAUAUUUAAUAACUAUGAUUGUAACUAGUUAUGACUGGUUUGUCUCCCUCGUCUUGAAUGAAGCCCAAACGCUUAGAGUUAUGGAACAGUCCUGUGAAAGCAGAGCCUUGGCGUGGACUUGCAAUCUCAAGCAAGGCCCAGACAAAAAGCGAAGAAGACACAUGAGGGCCUCACUUCAAACUAGGCUUAUAUUGUUUGGUCAUAUUACAAAUUCUCACAGCACACCAAUUUCCUAAUGUCUUGCCAAGGCUGCAUCCUUGCACAAAUGUGCAGAUUGAUUGUCAUAGAAACGGUAGCUUAUAAAUGGAGGUAGGAUAUAUGAUAAGUGACUGUUAUUCUUUCGAUUACAAGUGAAAUGGAAGGCAGCCAUUUUUUCUUUCAUAAUCAAUUCUACGUGGUGUAUAAUAAUGUAUUAUUGUUGUCUAUCAAGACUCACAUGAUAAUAAAUAGCAUUGGUUAUGCUGGUCGGAUAACCUACGGGUAGAGCCAGAGACAUGUCAUGAUGCCAACCACUACCGAGAGUCAUGGAGAAAUACAUAGUUUAUAUUUGAGAAAGAUGCCUUAGCAUGUUUGGGCGAGGCCUACAUAUAACUUCCAGUGGUUUUGCCUUCGGAACGGUGAACCCGGGGCUCUCGGUCAUGUCCACCAUUUUAUCACCAAUUUUCUGCCAUUCGAAACAUUGAAGGAGCGAGCCCAAUGCUAAUGCCAUCACUCUCAGGGCCAAGCCUUCUCCAGGACAGCUCCUCCUUCCAUACCCAAAAGGCAUCAACUUAAACCCAUCUCUCGCCACCUCUGGAUUGUCAAACCUCUCAGGUCUGAAUUUUGCUGGGUCUGGCCAGAUUUUAGGGUCAUUUUGAAUGGCCCACGCAUUUACAUACAGCAUCGUGCCACGUGGAAUGCGGAAUCCUCCAACCAGGCAUUCUUCUGACGACUCGUGAGGUACUAGCAACGGAGCUGCCGGGUACAUCCGUAACGUUUCGUUGAGGAUGCCGCGGAGGUAGGGAAGGUGGGCAAGAUCAGCUUCAUCCAUCAAACGAUCAUGCCCAAUCUGCUCGUCGAUUUCUCUUUGAGCCUUCUCGAGGACUUCGGGAUUGUUAAGCAAAAGUGAAAGUGCCCAUUCCAUUGUAGUAGAUGAAGUGUGUGUUCCUGCCAAUAAGAGCACCUACACACCAAACCAAAAUAUGGUAAUUAAUUCCAUAUAUAGAUGAUGCAAGCAGUGAAGAUAUCUUAUUCUAGGUGGUGUAACUUGACACGGAAACAACUUCUAGCAGUGGAGGUAUCUUACUGCUUGUAGAAAUAUCAAAUAAAGAAGAUGCAAACCAAAUCACCAGAGUGAUCUCCCACACCCUUGUCAAUUCAAUAAUACACCUUGGUUGCGUCUAUGACUUGACUAUUCUGAUACAUGAAGUCAAUUGUGCAUAGCCAGUUUCUUGACAAAAGCAAGAUCGAAAGACAAAAUAUGUCACUUCUUCCCCGCAGAGUAGUGGCGUCCCAUACUAUUUUACUUAAUUCCACAUCUAUAUAAUUGGUGAUAACUAAGAUUUCAUCCACUUAACAUACAAGAACAGUGCUGCAUAUAUUAUGAUAUCGCAACUCCAUUGAUCAUAAGAAUCAGUAAAUCAAGAAACAUGAUUAAAGUUCUUACCACCAUAAGCCCUUUGAUGAUAUCGUCCGUGUAAUACUCAGGUUCAGUUUCUUGCAGGGACAGCAGAACCUGAAUCAAAUUCUUUUUCUUUUCACCACAGCAAUCACCCUCCAGUAUUUUUCUCCGUUGCUCUUCUAUCAAACACUGCAUGAAACUAUCCCUCUUUAGAUUGCAUUCUAUCAAUCUCUUCUCCAUCUCUUUUGAUUUAAUCCACGGUAUAUAGUCUCCAAUAAUGGUUUUGCCACCUAGCAAGAAGCUUUCAGCAUGAAUUGCACGAAACCUUUUGGCUUCUUCCACAUCAGAAACAUUCUCUCCAUAAUAUCUCUUUCCAGCUAUCAUCCGCAUCAUGAUGUUCAGUACCAGUUCGAAGAAAACUGUCCUCAUAUCUACAAACUGGUUCUGAUCACGGAAGAGAACACAAAUCAUUGACUUCACCUCCUCCAGACGUAUGGCAGAGAGCAUUUGGAGGCGGUAUGCAGACAAGACUUCAAUAGAGACGAUCUUCCUAAGGUUUCGCCAGUGGUCGCCAUAGGGAGCCCAAACAACGCUUGUGCCGUUGUAGGCGAGGUGUUUCGCAAUGAGCAAACGUGGGCGGUUUGCAAAGACAACAUCAUUUUUGGUAAAGCAUUCUUCAGCUAUUGAAGGGGAUGAGACAACAAGCAGUCGACGAGAACCUUGUUGGAGCAAGAUUACGGGGCCAUGUUUAUUGGAGAUUUUUGAUAGUGUCCUGUAAAGUGGCUUCUUCAGUAGGUAGAGAUGGCCAAUGAUUGGCAGUGAAGGGAAUGGACUAGGUGGGAAGUUUCUUAUCUUGUUGAGGAAGUGAGUAGUUAUGACAUACAAGGCUAAAAACACAGGAAAGUAGAGAAACAAGGUUGCCAUGGAUUUGCUAAUGGCCACAGUCCUUGUUUUUGAGGAAGGUGUAUUACUUCUAUGUGUCUUGAUGAGGCUAUCUAUAUAUGAAUGGAGUCGGCGUUUGUUAUUGUGUUUUGAAAUGUUUUUUUAAUAAAAUUGAAUUUUUAUUUUGUUUUUAAUUGAUAUAUUUUUUAUAUUUUAAAUUAUUUAAUUUUUACAUUAAAAAUAAUUUUUUAAAAAAUAAAAAAUAUUAUUUUAAUAUAUUUUAAAAUAAAAAAUAUUUUUAAAAGUAUCCAUCAUCACCCUUUUAAACAAACUUUUAAAUUCUUUUUAAAAAUAAAUUUAUUUAAAAAUAUAUUAAAUAAUUUUUUUUACAAUUUCAUUGUAUUAAUAUUAAAAAUUAAAAAAAAAAAAAUUUAAUAUAUUUUUAAUAAACAAAAAAAGUCGUGCCUGCUUAUCUUAUCUCGUCGAUUAAAAAAGGAAGUGCUAUUGACGUUAUGAGGUCAGUGCAAACGCAUUAGUACAUGCAUAGUUACUACCGGUCACUGUCCAAGUUUGAGGUUACAAAUUCUGUGAACUGAAACAAUUAAUCCAAAGCUUUGAAGAUUUUUUUUUUAAUAUUAAAUCAACACCAUUAAAUUUUUUUAUAAAAAAUAGUUUUAAUUGUUUCAAUUAAAUUAUGAAUUAGCUUAUUAGUCGGCGCUCCAUCUAAUAUCAUACCAGAUCUUUUUAAAUAUAUAAAAUAAUAAUGUUACAAGCAUGAAGAUUUUUUUUUACAGUUUCAUUAAAAUUGGUUAAACAAUCAAUCUUAAAACUUUCCCAGUCAUCUAUUUUUCUAACUCAGUUUUUAAUUAAAUAAUAUAAGAACUUAACCGACUUAAAUCAAUUGAUUUUAUAAAUCUAAAUAUAAUAUCGAUCACCAAUCAAAAGAUGGCUUAGUUUUUAAAAAAACUCAAAAUGAUAACCUUUUUACAAAAUAUUAAAACAAUGAUAGAUUGGAUCGACCAUGAUCCAUCCGUAACCCAGAUCAUGGACUAUAUUGGCUUUAAAAACUUUUUUUAAUUAAUUUUUAUUUAAUUAUAUAAUAAAAAUAUAUGCUUGUAAAGUUGAGAAUUAACCUAAAAAUAGAUAUUUAUCUGAAAAAUAAUAAUCCUAUAGAAAACAAAUAAAAUAAAUCAUAAAGCCUAUUUUCAACUAAUUCAAUAUUAAAUAAUAAAAUAAAAAAAUAAAUUAAAAACAAUUAAAGGCCCAAAAUUUUUUUUGUCAACGGGUAAACUAGUCAAUCUAUAAACCGGGUAACUUGAGUUAGUAUCUCAAACCUGUGAAUUGGGUUACGAAUCACAUUGGGAUUAUAAUUUGUUUUUUUAAGAUUAUUUUUUAUUUAACUAAGUAAUAAAAAAAUAAACAAUCACAAAAUCAAACACUAGUCUAGUACGAGAUGUUUUUUUUAAGACCGCUAUAACUUUACAGAAAACGAAAUGGAACCAAUUAUAAAAUUGAACUAUCAACAAAUCCAAUAUCCAAAAAUAAAUUAGAAAUAAAAUAACUAAAAAAAACUCGCAAGACUCAUGUGCUAGGUCAACCAGCCAAAGCUGUGAAUGAUUCCAUAGACUUUAUAAAUUUUAAUAACUUGGCUUUUCUCAUAAAUUAUUUUUUUAACUAUACAAGGGAACAAUAAAUGAUAAAAAAAAAGAGUCAAGUUCAAUUAAAAAAAACUCCCAGCUAAAUUUGUAAACCAGGACGACCUAUAUUACUUUGGUAAAAUCACAAACCACAUUGACCCUGUAACAGCCCCAAUAUUUGUAUUCAAAACAUAUAGUAAAGACAUGAUAAUUCAAUUAAGAUAAGGGAUUUUUUUUUUCCUGUAAUCAGUAAAAAAUUUGGCAGAGUUUCCUCUAUAUUAUUAGGUACCAAGUUAUCGACUUUUCUUCCACAAUCCCCAAUUAACAAAUCUCUUACUUGUCCUAUCAUCCAGGACAUCAUCCUCUCAUUACAUCACAACUUCUCAAUAAUUAAAUUCACAUAUGUCUAAACAAUUCAAUAUCCCAUAUUUACAUGGAUGCAAUCUAAAGAAUUAUUUUAAAAACUGUAACUAGAGUACAUUAAUAAGGAUCGUUAACGAAAUUGUAAUCGAAAUAAGUUCAUAAUUAAAGCAGAAAUUCAUAAUAUAAUUAUGCUACACAAAAAGCUUUCGAUAAAUUGUAGACGCAUUAUAUUACAUAACAAAAGGAUAAAUUCAUUCAUUACAACAUGAUAUUCAACAAAAUAUAAAGGAACUAAUCUAAUGUUCAGUCCUGUAGGGGGAUGUACUUGAUGAAAAUAAAAUUUAAUACAAUAAUUCAAUUAAAAUAAAAAAUAAAAAGACAUUUAUAAAAUUAUUUCUACUUUCUUUCUUUCUUUCCUUUUUUUUUUUUUGUAAAUUUAGUCAAAAGAUCAUUAAAUUAACUUGCUCAUCUAGUAUUAUUAAUAUCAAUUAAAUUUCAGAAUAAUCUACUAGUCCAUUCAACAAGCACGGUUGUCAUCAGUCCAAAAAACUAGUUCAACAUUUCACCCAUUCAUCAGGGUACAAAUCCCAUUAACCAGGAAUUCAUUAUUCAUCUUGCCCAUUUGCCAGGGAACUAAUUCCAUUAAAUCAGGAAUUAGUUCAAUAACUUACCCAUUCGCCCAGGGUAUUGAUCCCAUUAACCAGGGACUCAAUUUCUUACAACGCAUUCACCAGGCAUAAUCCCAUUCAUUCAGAAUUAAUUCAUCAUAUCACAUAUCUUAUUUUCUCAAGUAAACAACAUAAUAAUUUCUAAUAUAUCAACCACAAUCAAUCCGAUAAAAAAAUACAUAUUGUCUAAUGUUAAAUUCAGGUAUCGUGUAAUUACCUGAUGACUGAGCUCGAGCCGUAGUUCCCUGCUGUGAUGUCGGCCUGGCAGCCUCUCCUGAAUUGACAUGUAUAUCGCAUCAUUAAUCUACUUUCCAUAUCGAAACACUCAAUAAAUAAAAUCCUUCCAAUUAUCCUUUCAUUUGACAAAAUAAAAUUUAGAGAGAAACAUGAAAAAUUCCCUUCCUAUUCUUCAAUUUCCGCGUUGUAACACAUAACAUUUCAUCAUUCAAAUAUAUAUAUAUAUAUAUAUAUAUAUAUUCUUUAAAUGUAUUUAUUUUACCAAAAUUUAAAUUAAAGGUAAACAUAAAAAAUUCAUGAUCCAUUCUCUCUUUAACAUUAAUAUCAUCUCUUUCCUACACAAUCUCAUCAUCUUAUUCAAAUUCCUAAAUUUUAUUCCUCUUAAUAUUAUUUUUCAAAAAAUCUCUUCUUCAAGAACACCUAAAAUUUUGCUUCAAUUUCCAUAAUUUCCUACUUUCUCUACUCACUUCAACAAUCUUAACACAAUUUCACAAUCAAUUAUAAUUUCCUCCAAAAUUUAUCAUGAACCCUAAUUCCUCAUUUCACAAAGUUCAAUCAAUUUAAAUAUUUAUUCAUCAAGAAUCUUAUUUAAAAGUGUAAGGGCACUUUACCAAAUAAUAGCUAAAGCUUUAACACUUUUGUAUUGAAACUUUCCUUGCUUGAAUUAUUUCUACUCCUCUCUGGCCGAAUGCUUCUUCUUCCUCUUUGAAAGGUAAGUUUAGUUUUAUUUUUCUUUCUCCUUCCAGCACACACUUGCACUCACACACACACACACACACACAUAUAUAUAAUUAACUUUUUUAAAAAUACCAUCCAUGUCCUUAAUUUUUUUCUUCCGCACACACUUGCACUUAUAUAUAUAUAGCUUUCUUUUUCUUUUUCUUUUUUUUUAAUACUAUCCAUGCCCCUAAAUUUAUUUUUUCUUCCGCACACACUUUAGCCCACAUUAUUUCUUUCACCUUUUUUUUUUCCUUCUAUCCCUCAACAGUAACUUUUAAGAUUUUUAGUAAAAUUUCCAGAAUCCUGAUACCUGUUUAUACCAAAUCUUGCCCGGGUUAUAUUGAAUUUCACUAAGUUACUCGUUGGUACUUUUAGUUUCAUGAAAUUCACUUCUAAAAAAAAUCUCAUUAACAUUUUCGUGUAUAUUUAUUUAUUUAUAUAUAUUAACACUUGACAAAACAUUUUAAUUCAAAUUCUCAAAUAUAUCAUCAUUCUUAUAAUUUAAUUUAUCUAUUUUCCUCAUUAUUUUAUAAUCCUGACUUUUCUUAAUAUCAAUAAUAUUAUCCGGGGUUUUACAUCCUCCCCUCCUUAUAUAAAUUUUGUCCUCGAAAUUGGAUUCUUACCAGUAUUUAUGAAUAACUCAGGAUACUUCCUUCUCAUUUCGGAUUCUCUUUCCCACGUUACUUCUUCGAUUUGCGAACUUCUCCAUAACACCUUAAUCAUAGGAAUUUUUUUAUUCCUCAGUUCUUUUUCACUAUAAUCCAGCACCUUCACUGGUUUCACUUCCAGAGUCAGGUCUUCUGCAAUCUCCAAAGGAACUUGUGGUAAGACUCGAGAUGGAUCUACUUCAGCCUUUCUUAACAUCGAAACAUGGAAUACAUCAUGGAUCUUAUUUAGAUGUGAGGGCAAGGCCAAUCUGUAAGCCACCGAUCCAAUCCUUUCAAGGACUUCAUAGGGACCAAUAUACCUCGGAGCCAAUUUCCCUUUCAUUUCAAAUCUUAACAUGUGUUUCCAGGGAGCGACCUUCAAGUAUACUCGAUCACCCACAUUAAACUCAAGAGGUCUUCUUCGAACAUCUGCAUAGCUCUUUUGUCUAUCUUGAGCUGCUUUCAUUCGGUCUUUUAUGAUUUUCACUUUUUCUGUGGUGAUUUGAACCAUCUCAGGUCCAUUUAACUUCCUAUCCCCUACCUCUUCCCAACAUAAUGGUGUUCGACAUUUUCUUCCAUACAAGGCUUCAUACGGUGCCAUCCCUAUAGAUGCCUGGUAGCUGUUAUUAUAAGUAAACUCUACCAAUGGUAGAUGAUCCUCCCAAUUGCCCCCAAAUUCUAAUAUGCAAGCCCUCAACAAAUCUUCCAGGGUUUGAAUUGUUCUUUCUGUCUGCCCAUCAGUUUGAGGGUGAAAUGCUGUACUUAAAUUCAAUCUUGUCCCCAAAGCCCGUUGUAUGCUUGGCCAUAAUCGAGAUGUGAAUCUAGGAUCCCGAUCUGAUACUAUAGACACUGGCACUCCAUGCAAUCUUAUUACCUCAUUUACAUAUAAUUGUGCCAGUUUAUCAAUCGAAUCUGUCUUUCUCAUAGCCAAGAAGAGAGCAGACUUGGUCAAUCUAUCCACUAUGACCCAAAUAGCAUUAUUGCCUCUUUUCCCUUUAGGCAGACCUGAUACAAAGUCCAUAGAAAUGUCUUCCCACUUCCAUUGAGGUAUCAAUAAUGGUUGUAAAGGCCCUGCAGGCUUCUGGUGCUCCACCUUUACUUGCUGACAUAUACCACACUUAGCCACAUAUUCAGCUACAUCUUUCUUCAUAUUCGGCCACCAGUAACAUUCUUUUAAAUCUUGAUACAUUUUAGUACUCCCAGGAUGAGUUGCAAAUCUAGACUCAUGUGCUUCUUGCAACACUUCUCUUUUUAGUGCUUCAUCAUUAGGUAAAUACAUUCGUUUUCCAAAUGCUAUCAUUCCAUCCUCUAGGAUUUGGAAGGAAGUCCCAACUCCUGACUUCACAUUGUCCCUUAUUUUUCCGACUUUGUCAUCAUUUUGUUGUGCUUCUAAUACUUUAUCCCGGAGUAUCGACCUUACUCGCAAUUGGGCAAUUAAAGAACCUCUAGGUCCAACUUCUACCUUAGCAUUUAACUUCCUCAACUCAAGCAAUUCUCUUUCAUCAUUGUCAUCUAAAACAACAUCUAUCAUCUUAUUUUUUCGGCUAAGGGCAUCUGCAACCACAUUUGCUUUCCCCGGAUGAUACUCUAUUACACAAUCAUAAUCCUUAAUUAACUCCACCCAACGUCUUUGCCGUAUAUUCAACUCCUUUUGCGUCAUUAGAUACCUCAAACUCUUAUGAUCGGUGAAUAUUUAAACUCGGGAUCCAUACAAAAAAUGCCUUCAUACUCUGAGAGCAAAUACAACAGCUGCCAAUUCUAAAUCAUGCACCGGAUAAUUAAUCUCAUGAGUUUUUAAUUGUCUUGAGGCAUAGGCAAUCACUUUACCGUGCUGCAUCAAAACACAACCCAAUCCUUUCCCUGAAGCAUCACUGUAAACUACAAAUCCUUCAGACCCAGAUGGAAGUGUUAACACGGGUGCGGUUGUUAGCCUCUUUUUCAGCUCCUGGAAACUUUGUUCACACUCAUCGGUCCAUUCCCAUUUUGUCUCCUCCCGUGUCAGUCGAGUCUUCGGGAUAGCUAUAGUGGAGAACCCUUCAAUGAAUCUCCUGUAAUAUCCUGCCAAUCCAAGAAAACUACGAAUCUCAGUCACAUUCGUAGGCCUCUCCCAUUUCAACACUGCUUCAACCUUUCUAGGAUCUACUAGUAUUCCUUGAGCUGAUAUAACAUGUCCUAGAAAAAACUACUUCUUUCAACCAAAACUCACACUUACUUACUUUGGCAUACAAUUGAUGCUCCCUUAAGGUUGAUAACACUUGUCUCAAAUGGUGUUCAUGUUCCAAAUAUGAAUUGGAAUAGACCAAAAUAUCAUUUAUGAAUACUACCACAAACUUAUCCAGAUAAGGUCGAAAAACCCGAUUCAUUAAGUCCAUAAACACUGCUGGUGCAUUUGUUAACCCAAAUGGCAUUACUAGAAACUCAUAAUGUCCAUACCGAGUCCUAAAUGCAGUCUUUACCACAUCUUGUUCUUUUUAUUCUUAAUUGAUAAUACCCGGAUCUGAGAUCUAUCUUCGAAAACACCUUCGCUCCCUUAAGUUGAUCAAACAAAUCAUCUAUUCGCGGGAGUGAGAUAUAAUUUAUUUUUUUACUGUUACCUAUAAUUGUCUGUAAUCAAUACAGAGUUAAGGGUCCCAUCUUUCUUCUUUACAAAUAAUACUGGAGCUCCCCAGGGGAAUUACUUGGACGGAUAAAUCCUUUAUCCAGUAAAUUCUUGUAGCUGAAUUUUCAAUUCGGCUAAUUCCGCAGGCGCCAUUCUAUAUGGUGGUUGAGCAACAGGUGUGGUCCCGAGUAGUACAUAAUGGAAACUUCCACUUCCCUAUCUGGUGGUAACCCCAAUAAUUCAUCUGUAAAUUCUCUCACUAUAGGGAUGUUUUGUCAAUUCUAGUUUUUUCUUUCGAAUCUAACACGUAAGCAAGGUAAGCUUCACAUCCCUUUUUAACCAUCUUCCUUGCAGUCAUAACCGAGAUGAUGCAAUUCGGUAUAAUGUUCUUUUCCCCUCUAAAAAUCACUCUCAUUCCAUUCUGUCCCUGGAGAGUCACUGUUUUUGCAAAGCAGUCCAUUUGAGCCUUAUAUACACUUAACCAAUCCAUACCUAGUAUUACUUCAAAAUCCUAUAAUUCCAAGGGAAUUAAAUCUACUCCCAACUCGAGCCCAUCUAUACUAAUCCCAAUUCCCUUGUAGACUACAUCAAUGACUACAACUUCACCUAAAGGAGUACUUAUCAUAAAUCCUCUAUCUACCCUGCUAGGUCUUUUUCCUAUUUUCCCCACAAUUUUAUUAGCCACAAAUGAAUGUGUAGCCCCAGGAUCAAUCAAUGCAUGUACAAGUAAUGAAUUUAACUGUAAAGUACCUGCUACUACAUUUGGGGCGACUCACAAGUAAUCUCUUCUUCAAGAACACCUAAAAUUUUGCUUCAAUUUCCAUAAUUUCCUACUUUCUCUACUCACUUCAACAAUCUUAACACAAUUUCACAAUCAAUUAUAAUUUCCUCCAAAAAUUUAUCAUGAACCCUAAUUCCUCAUUUCACAAAGUUCAAUCAAUUUAAAGUAUUUAUUCAUCAAGAAUCUUAUUUAAAAGUGUAAGGGCACUUUACCAAAUAAUAACUAAAGCUUUAACACUUUUGUAUUGAAACUUUCCUUGCUUGAAUUAUUCUACUCCUCUCCUGGCCGAAUGCUUCUUAUUUUUCUUUCUCCUUCCAGCACACACUUGCACUCACACACACACACACACACAACAUAUAUAUAUAUAUAUAAUUAACUUUUUUAAAAAUACCAUCCAUGAAACGCAAGCUGGACUCUUGCCUCUUGAACUUCAAGCUUGUUUAGGAUUGUGAUUAUGAUUUUAAUUAUAAUUUAAAGUGUUUUUCAUUUAGAAAUGUAUCAAAAUAAUAUAUUUUUUAUUAUUUAAAAAUUAUUUUUAAAAUCAGCACAUCAAAACAAUAUAAAAACAUAAAAAAUUAAUUUUUAAUAAAAAUAUAAAUUUAAAAUUUUUGAAACACUGUUAGCCCGCAUUUUCAAACGCAGCUGAAGUUGAAGCAGGUUGAAAAUAAAAGCAGGCAGGAAUUUGAAUGGGUCGAGGAGUUAUUUUUUAGAAUAUUUUUUAUUUAAAAAUAUAUUAAAAUAAUAUAUUUUUUAUUUUUAAAAAUUAUUUUUAAUUUCAACAUAUCAAAUAAUAUAUAUAAAAAAUAUUUUUAAAUAAAAAAAAUCAAAUUUCUUAUGAAUUUAAAAUUGUUUAUAAAACAAGACUUUAAAUGACGAAAAGCAGUUGGGACGUAAUUUUCAGACAUGGAAAAUGUGGAAAGGACAUGGAUUAAUCUUACAAGUUAAGUACAACGUUGAAAGCUACCAAGUGGAUAUGAAUUUCAUCAUCAGAAAAUGGAGACGAAGACCUGGUUAAUUUCAAUUUAUUUGAAUUAUUCACCAUUAAAGCUCUCCAAUUUCUAGGAGCUGGAUAAAAAAAUGACAGUAUCUCCAUUCUCAAGGAAUCUAACCUUGCUGGAGUAGGUGUUGAGCGUGUUUGGGAGUGUAGUUAUUAUAUUUUUUAAAGUAAUUUUUUAUUUAAAAAAGCAUGCCAAAAUUUUUAUUUUUAAAAAAUUUUUUUGACAUCAGCACAUCAAAAUGAUUUAAAAACAUCAAAAACAUAUUAACUUAAGCAAAAAGAAAAAAAUCAAAUUUUUUAAAAAAUGUUUUUCCACCGCAAUGCCAAAACACUCUCGUUAUCUUUUCCCUGCGUGCUAAAUGAGCCAAAUCCAUUAUCAUCUAGUUUUUUAAUUAAAAAAAAUGUUUUUUUAAUUUAAAAAUUUUUUCAAAAAAAAAAUUUGGUUUGGAAGAGGAUUAAUCUAAAUUUGAAUUAACUGAGUUUUUUUAAAUUUUUUUAAUUUAGAUAAUUCAAGCUUUGAAUUAACUGAUUUUGAUGUCGACAUAGCGAUGAAAUCCAGUCUUAGUUUAUAUAACAAUAUAUGUUAAAUGUUUAAAAGAAAAAGACAAAUUCUACUAGUAAAUUAUUAGAGAAUAAUAUAAAUUAUAUUUUAAAAUUUUAUUUAAGAGCUUAAGCUAUUAGGGUGAGAUGAUUGUUUAACAUAGUAUCAGAGCCUUAAUGAUCAAGUGGUCAAAAGUUCGAGUUUUACAACCUCUAUUUAUUUGAUAAAAAUCAAACACAAGGUAAUAUAAAUCUGUGUAAGUUUUAAGUUUAAAAAGUUUUCAUCUAAAAAGAAAUAUUAAAAAUAAUAUAAAUUACAUCUUAAAAUUUUAAAUUAUUGAAUUGAUAAUAGUCUUUUAUAUCAAUAACUAUACUAGCAAAGGCAAGGUUUGCCUAAUUUGUUUUUAAUAAUAAAAUAGAGACAGGGACUGGAUAGAUUUUAGUUCUGUAAAUUUUCUAGGGGGCCUUUUCUACGUAUAUUUUAUUGACAAGGAAGGGGACUCAAGAACAGCUAUCUACGAAAGGCGGAAGGAUCGCAGAAAAACAUUCAGUGUCUCCCUUCUCUACAAAGUCUCGACUUAAUAGAGCAGGUGCUAUCGCUCCCUAUCGCUAGAUAGGAAAAUUCAUUGUCCAAAAUAACAAGACAAUCCAAUUAAUAAACAAACUAUCGUAGCAAAGAUAAAAAAAAUAAAUAUUAUUAUAAUUUAAAAAAUUAAAAAAAGACUUAAUCAAAAAAUUAAUAAACAAAAUUCAUUUGUUUUUGAAUAUUUUAUCUAUCAAUGUCAAAAAUAAAUUUAAAAAAUUAAAAAUAUAUUAUUUUAAUUAUAAAAGACUUUCAUAAAUAUAUAUUAUAUUUUCAAAUGGAUGGAUUAAAAGAAAUUUAGUACCUAUAAUAAAUUGGGUAUUUGGUCAAUUUGAAUCCAUUUUUUAGUAUGUGUUUGGAUAGGAGGUAGCUUAUACUUAAAAAGUAUUAUAUUUUUUUAAACCACACCUCCAAGUUAAACCAUAGUUAUUAAACUCGGCCCGGCCCGGCGGGUCAACCGGACCGGUCGACGGUGGCUGGACCGGGUCGGGUUUAAUAAAAGACCGGCUGUGGCAACAGCCCGGCCAAACCCGGGCGACCCGGUGGGUCGACCGGGACCCGGGCGACCCGGGCAACCCGGACGAGACCCGGGUUUUUUUUUUUUUUAAAUAUGAGAUAAAAAAAAUUGGUUUAAAUAUUUCAACUUAAAAUAAUAACAUAGUAUCUUUCAAAGUGGGGUUUAAAGCCCUUUCAUAUAUAUACUCUAUGUUUACAUGAAAAAAUCAUGUUUUUCAAUGUGGGAUUUGAAACCCAUUAGUAUAUACUCUAUGUUCCCAAGGAAAAAAUCAUGUUUUUUCAAUAUGGGAUAAAAACCUUUUGGUUUAAAUACUUCAACUUAAAGGGAUAACAUAGUAUCUUUUCAAUUGGGAUUGAAGCCCUUUCAUAUAUACUCUAUGUUCCCAUGAAAAAAAUUAUGUUUUCAAUGUGGGAUUUGAAACCCAUUAGUAUAUAUACUCUAUUCCCAAGGAAAAAAAUCAGUUUUUCAAUGUGGGAUAAAAAACCUUUUGGUUUAAUACUUCAACUUAAAGGAUAACAUAGAUUCUUUUCAAAGUGGGUUUAAAGCCCUUUCAUAUAUAUACUCCAUGUUUACAUGAAAAAAUCAUGUUUUUUCAAUGGAAUUUGAAACCCAUUGGUAUAUAUACUCUAUGUUCCCAUGAAAAAAGUUAUGUUUUUUCAAUGUGGGAUAAAAACAUAGAGAUAUAUAUAUGAAAGGGCUUCAAAUCCCACAUUGAAAAGAUACUAUGUUAUCCUUUUAAGUGAAGUAUUUAAACCAAAAUGUUUUUUAUCCCACAUUGAAAAACAUGAUUUUUUCCUUGGAAACAUAGAGUUAUAUACCAAUGGGUUUCAAAUCCCACAUUGAAAAAACAUGAUUUUUCAUGUAAACAUAGAGUAUAUAUGAAAGGGCUUUAAACCCCACUUUGAAAAGAUAUAUGUUAUCCCUUUAAGUUGAAGUAUUUAAACCAAAAGGUUUUUUAUCCCACAUUGAAAACAUGAUUUUUCUUGGGAACAUAGAGAUAUAUAUCAAUGGGUUUCAAAUCCCACAUUGAAAAAACAUGAUUUUUCAUGUAAACAUAGAGUAUAUAUAUGAAAGGCUUUAAACCCCACUUUGAAAAGAUACUAUGUUAUUUUAAGUUGAAAUAUUUAAAUCAAUUUUUUUAUCCCAUAUUUUACAUGGAUUUUUCAUAUAAAAUAUUAUUUUUUUUAAUCAACCCGGAUAAUCCGGGUUGACCCGGGUUGACCCAUGAAACCCGAGACCCGGCCCCUUGGCCGGGUCAACCCCCGGGCCGGGUUUAAUAACUAUGAGUUAAACACAUACUUUCAUGUCCAGUUGUUCAUUUCAAGUUUCUCUGCCAGUCUGCUCGGUUUUAAAUUUCCAGUACCCACCAAGAGUUCUGGAAUUUUUUUCAUUACCCUCUAAAAAGUUUAUCACCAAUUCAACUAUAUUUUUAAAAAUUCUUAAAAUUUUUAAUUUUAAAUUAUUUUUUGAAUUUUUAUUAUUAUUUUGAUGUAAUGAUAUCCAAAAUAAAUUUUAAAAAAUAAAAAAUAUUAUUUUCAUAUAAAAAAUAUCUUUACCGCUCUUAAACAUGCUUGAAAAUUUGGUGCCUACCACCACGCUGUCCCUUACUGUUUGAGACAUUUGGAUAAUUUUGGAUGGUCCAGGAAGAGUGAGAUUUCCCAACUUCCAGCUUCCGGCCAAACAGGCUCUUAUGCGGCUGGAAGUCUACUUUGCUACUACCAAAUAAGGGAGCAUAUAACUACAAGGCCCAACUCAAGAAAUUGAAAAACAAAAUUGGGCCACGUUUUCUAUGCAGGCCCAUCUUCAAAAUCCCUGUUUUCUACGCGGGCACCACGUAGCGAACUCAUUACUAGAAUAUAUAUAUAUAUAUAUAUAAACAACAGGAAACAUAUUAUAUCAUUAUUCAAAAUCCCUUUAAUAACUAUGAUUGUAACUAGCUAUGACUGGUUUGUCUCCCUCAUCUUGAAUGAAGCCCAGACGCUUAGAGUGAUAGAACAGUCCUGUGGAAGCAGAACCUUGGCGUGGACUUGCAAUCGCAAGCAAGGCCCAGACAAAAAGCGAAGAAGACACACGAGGGCCUCACUUCAAAACUAGGCUUAUUUGAGAAAGAUGCGUAAGCAUGCUUGGGCGUGCCCUACAUAUAGCUUCUAGUGGUUGUGCCUUUGAAAUGGUGGACCCGGGCGCCUCAGUCAAGUCCACCAUUUUAUCACCAAUCUUCUGCAACUCGAAACAUUGAAGGAGCGAGCCCAAUGUUAAUCCCACCACUCUCAGGGCCAAGCCUUCUCCAGGACAGCUCCUCCUUCCAUGCCCGAAAGGCAUCAACUUAAACUCGUCUCCUCUCCCCUCUGGGUUGUCGAACCUCUCGGGUCUGAAUUUUGUUGGGUCUCGCCAGAUUUUAGGGUCAUUUUGAAUGGCCCACGCAUUCACAUACAGCAUCGUGCCACGUGGAAUGCGGAAUCCUCCAACCAGGCAUUCUUCUGAGGACUCAUGAGGUACUAGCAACGGAGCUGCCGGGUACAUCCGUAACGUCUCGUUGAGGAUGCUACGGAGGUAGGGAGGUGGGCAAGAUCAGCUUCAUCCAUCAAACGAUCAUGCCCAAUCUGCUCGUCGAUUUCUCUUUUAGCCUUCUCGAGGACUUCAGGAUGGUUGAGCAAAAGUGAAAGUGCCCAUUCCAUUGUAGUAGAUGAAGUGUGUGUUCCUG